GUAAUUAUUAUUAGAUGUUUGAAGCAUUUAAUUUGACAUACUAUUUUGGUAGUUCUUUUUUUCUAAAUUUUUAUCAACUGUAGAUACUUGCUCUAUAUAUACAUCUUGGUGGCUUGAUUCAUAGAGCAUGACUGGUGGCUAAGGACAUGUAACUACUGGGAGAGUUAAAUUUGCUUGAAUGGAUGAUGAACGUGCUAAAGCUAUGAAGUAAAAUAAGACCAAACAGAUAUUAGAUGUCUGUUUGCCUUCGUGCUCAAUGCUUUGCAUUCUUAUAAAGGAUGUAUUGAUAUGCAAAGAUCUAAAAUACUCAAAACCAAUAAACUAUUUUUACAUAUGCCUUAUUAUCUUUAGAUAAUCUUACAGGCAUACAGAUAACAGAGACUAACAUAAGUAUUCCCAUCACACAUUCACAAAGUCAGAAAUUUGUUCUUGUAUUAAAAACUGUCUUUUUAAACUGUAAUAGGUUAUAUUUGUAUAUAUGUACAUGCAUGCUCUAGAAAGAUUUUUUUGGUUGCUGAAUUUUGAAAUAUUUAAUCUAGUAUUAAGUUUUUUUGUUUAAAUAACUCUGGAGAGAGGUGAGAUGCAUGGCGUUCUACAACUGGUGAGAUGAUAGCUGGCUCAAAUGUUUUCCUUCUUGUCCCACCUGAUAGCUUUGGAAGAUACAGGAAGUAACAUGUUUGUGAAAUCUUGUGAGAAACUAGGAAGCGCCAUUGGCCAAUGUAUUUUACCUUUGUCUGAGAGCAAAGUGCAAAGCUGGGUUUUGGACUGAAGUCUAGGGUCAGUGAACAAAAAACCCUGCCUAGAGGAUUUCAAAAAUCAAAGUGGAAUGUCCGCAAGAAAGGGAGUAAAAGAAAGUAGUAUAGCUAACACAUUUGAUUACUUCUGUAUAUUUUACACUGUGCCCUAUAACUCCAAUUUAAUAGUUAAAACAUAUAGAAGUUUUUGAAAUUAAUACGAAUACCUGUAGGCCACAUUCUUUCAAAUUCCUCAAAAUUCCAUUGUUGAGCUACAAGAUUUGCUAACUGUUCAUCAGCUGUUAGUGCAUAAUAUAUAAGCACUUGAUUGAACAUUUCACAAAUUUUUAUUAUAUACUUUUCCCUGAACUUGUAAUUCUGAUACAGAUGCUGAAGUACAUAUUGUACUGGAGGGAGUCACAAGCUUGCUUGUUACAUAGCUGUUGAGAGCGGCUAUAAAGAGAAUUGGGGAUGAUAUCAUUGCUAGCCAUUGGCAUUCUGAUUUUUUUUAGGUGUUCAGGGAGUAGAAGACCUUCUUUGAGGCAGCACAGUCAUGGUUAAGACUUAAAAGCAUGGCAAAUAUUAGAGGCACAUCAUUUGAGACAUUGGACCUAAUCUUCUAUAGCUGUAUUUUGUUCUAUGUUUUCCUUAUCAAUAAUAUAAGUGUUAAUUAAAAGGGAAAAUGUAUCUGAAGCUUAAUCUAUAAAUUUAUUUUAGAAACUGUAAAACCUUUAGAUUAGAGCUCUUCAAAGUUUAAAAUUAUUUUGGUCAUUUUUCCACAUCAGUUAAAUAGAUACAUAGUGCAUGAAUGCACAUUAUUCCUCUUUUGGUUUAGUCAAAAUUUUGUUCAAAAAGAAAUAGUGGCAACGGUAAUAUUGAUACAUUCAUAGUUCUGAAUCAGUUAAGUACAUUAUUUUUUUCACCAAAAAAAUAAAUACGUUAUUUUUCCACAUCAAUUACAUAAAUACAUAGCUCUGCAUGAAUGCACAUUAUUCCUUUUUUUAGGUUUAAUUGAUUGAACAUACUGGCAUCAAAAUUUUGUUCAGAAAGGAAAAAAAGUGACAAUAAUAACAUCGAUAUAUUCAUCCAGUUAUUGAGAAUCUACUUUGAGUAAAUAACAUUGGUAUAGGCAUCACAUUAUGCUCAACUUUUGCCCUUAUCUUGAAAUAAAGGAGAUAGGGACAUGGGCCAUGGAAAUGCAUCGCAGAAGUGGCCCUUUGAUAUGCCCAGUCAUGUAAAUUGUGUGAAAUGUCAAGCAUUGUGCAUGAAGUAUUAUUCCUUACAGACUCAUACCAAGGAAUUAUAAUUCCUCUCCUCCUCUCUUUUUUCCUCAAAAGUAUAGCAGGUACUAAAAGAGUCAUGUAACUCACUUUUUUGUUUCUUGAUGGUGGCGGAGACCUUAUGCUGCAUUAAAAUUGUAGGUAGUGGGAGGACAGACACACUGUUGCAUGGCAGGGCAAUAGAGCUAGGGAUAUGGAUAGGUGGUCCACUUCAUGAAGGUGGUGACCUUAAUGAUAUGAUGGCCACCACCCAUAUCUAGGUCUUGAUACUACUAACAGUGCAGUGGUGGAUGGGAGAGGAGAGGACCUAAUUUUUCCCACAUUUUUCCCACAGAAACACAUCAUGCACCCAAACUACGAAUAUCAACUGGGUAAGAGAGUAGAGAAACGCAUGAGCAUGGAAAUUAUAUAAUAAGCAGUAGCUAGAAGAUCUGAAACAGUGUGCAGCACCAGAGGAUCAUUCAGUGGUUUUGUUUUGACUAUUACUUGUGCGUGCUCUAACCUUGUUCUUUUCUUGCACCUCCUUUUGCUGCCACUCAUUCAGCAUUUGUUUAUUUGAGACAUGCUUGAUCCACGUCAUACGGCUCAGCUUACAUUGGCUCCAAUAUUUUUUCUGUCUGAUUUUCUCUUGAGAAACUUUUAAAUUGUGUUGGUAUUUAAGAAUCCAGAUGCAUUUAAUCAGAUGUUACCAUCAAAACCAUUUCUCAAGCUCCUUUUUGAAUGUAAACAAUGAAUAGAGCUUUCUUAUGUAUUUGUAUGUUUUCUGUCAAGGUACUGCUAUUUUAUGACUUGAAAUUUGCUAUUUUGCGACAUUUUUUUUGGUACAUAUUUUGUCCCAGUUCUUGGUAGCCCUUCCCAAAAGCUGGCACUGUAUCAGUUUUUUGUUCUUAGGCAUUCUCUACAGAAAGCUAAGGUCUAGCAGCUGCUCUUCCUCUGGUGCUCUAACUUGUAGUCAUCUUCUACCUCUCCUCUUGAAAUGCUUUCAAACAUGUCUCCCUUUUAGCAAACUCUAUGAUUGUCUUUCUCCACUUAACACGAAGUCACAAAAGGAAGAAACCUACUCCUCAGACAGGAUGUACCCCUAGGGUUUGAAGUUGGUGUCUAUAGGGUUUCUACAAUUUAAUGAAAUCGUAAUGAAGCUGGUACAAAGUAAUAUUCAGUUGGUCAGGUUAAUAACCAAGGGACUUGAAGCCCUGCAUGAGGCAUGGCUUUUUUUUUGUUGUUGAUGCUUUUAUCACCACAUAUAAUAUCUUUUUGAUGGUAAACAGGGAAUUAGGUAUUCCGAGUAUGUGAAAUUAGUGAAGUUGACUUCAUGUUGGUGGCCUAAUGGAUAUCAGCAUCAUUCUACAGGGCAAUCAUUCAAUGGCGGACCAUGUCAAAGGCCUUCCAAGGCUUUUCGAGCUGCCAUCAGCCAACCAUAAGAGGAGCGGCAGCCCUUCCCUUAUUUAACACCCACCAGCUCCUCAGAACAGCAGCCAUAGCAUUAACCAUGCCAAGACGAAUGCCUGUCCUCAUGCUCAUUUUCCUAAUUCUUCUUUUCAAGACAUUUUCAAGCCAAGUUCCGAGUAUUGAUAAUAAAAUCAAACCUGGAUGCUUGGUGAGCAAGUGUCCUAAUGCCCAGAUGCAAGCAAGAAAGGCUCUGGUAGAGAUCACACUGGAUUAUGACUAUGGAGGACCCAACCACAAACAUGACCCCAGGAAAGGGAAGCCAGGGAAUGAUGGCAAGAACCCUUAGCUCUCAUUUGCCCAUCCCCGCGGUUGCACGGUGAUCGUGAAGAAACCAGUCUCUUUUUAUAACCAUCCGUCUAUAUAUACUCUUAUUCUUUAAUGGGCUUAGACUUGUCUUGCGUACGGGAGGACAAAACUAGUAUGGUUUUAAUUAACGCAGCAGUUUGUCCAUGGGAUCAUCUUGUACUUGCUCUCUCAUAAUUCUCUUUCGUGGUUGAAUGGUGCCCCUUUAAUAAAAUGGAAAGGUCCUCGAUAAAUGUAGCAGUUGCUUAUCCACUGUUUGUUUAUCAUCAGGACAUCAGGACAAUUAGAUGAAAAAGUUAUUUAAUUCAUGGUUCCGUGGGUUGAGUGCCUACCUGCUUCAAAAUCCUCGGUGAUAUAUCUUCAUGUACAGUAACAUGGAAACCUCGCAUCCUCCUGGUGGCGGCCUUCUUCUUCCAGGACUUACCAUCGAAGAGAUGGUGAAAUCAGCUGCUAUCUUUGUAGCGGAUUAGUUGGAAAUAAGCUCAUCAAAUUUAGAGAUUGCAAAUAAUUACUUUAGGCUGUAACAACAUUUAACAGUAAAAGUAUAUGGCAAGUAGAUUUACGAAUUUACAGGAAUGGAUGAGGUUUUUUUGGGGACAGAUGAGGGGCUUGAUAUCUAUCCAAAAUUAUGUGCACUCCAAGGCUUCUGAUUCAUGAUAGAA